GCGACUUGGGUUGCACGACCCGAUGAAGACGAAGAUACUCUAUUACAGAGAAUAUCUGUACAGCCGAAUUAGAUGCUUGAUGUCACUCACCGUUAACAAACGUGCAUGUGUUUAUAUGUGCCUGCCAGAACCGAAGAAACUUUGCGAGCGUAAUGGCGGCAGCAGCAAGUUCUUUGAAGACGUGACGAACAUUAACAAAAGGUGUGACGACCUGUCAGUGGAAGGGAACCUACUCUUCGUCCUGUAUCAGUACGAAAGGAGAGUGGAGGUUUACAAGCUAGACUCGGGUGAGCAAAUAACGGUCCUGCACAUCAAAAGGUUUCAGGAACAUCAUAAACUGGUCAUGAACAAGCUUGACCUGGGGAGCCAUCGUCAUACAAUGUUCCGCGAGAGGUCUGAGGAACCUGGUCGAAGGUCUAUGCAAGUAUGUACGGAAAGAAAUUAAAGUUUGUCGUCAUGAUUUGAAGGCCACCAUUUGAGGAUCAUCAAUUAUGCCCUGUGCAUGAACUAUUUACAUAGAAAUCAAACUUGAUCGCGUCAGUUUAAUUCGUGACUUAUCAUUUGAACAGCCUCUUGUCCAUCAGUAGAUUCACAUAACUUAUAUCUGGAGUUAUUGUAAGAAUAUUUCUUAAAAGCGUGACAUGUGGAAUACGAUUAGACGGAGUUGUCAAAAUUGGCAUUGUAAAUAGGCAGGACUUUGGAUAAAAAUGCUUUCACUUCUCUGUGAACAAUGUCCUUCAUUCUCCUUAUCAAACUAGGUUUAAGACUGGUUGUUUUUCUUUAUUAUUAGACAUUUCAGAAAUCAUAUCAACAAACGUCGCUCCCAUUGUAAUAAAAAAGAAGUUGUUGA